rnacentral:ncRNA from 385 species
UUCCGUAGGUGAACCUGCGGAAGGAUCAUUG